rnacentral:lncRNA from 1 species
UUCAAUAUGCAUAUAUUUCAUUUAUUCGAACUUUAUUUGUAAUUUACAACAUGAAUUCGACUUAAACAGGCUAUGUGUACAAACUGCUUUAUUUAAUUUUUAUUUAAUUAUAUCUAAAGUAAUUUGCAUUUAUUUUAUUAUUUUUUUUGUCAUAACAUUUUUUUAUUUUAUCUAAUGUAUUUCAACUCAUUUUUGGCUAUUUUGGCUAAAUAAAUAUUUCUAUGAAUUUUAAUUUUUUAUUUGAACUUAACAAUUAUUUAAUUUAGUUUAUUAUUUGCUACUUUAUUUAAGAAUAAAGCUGAACCACAUAUAAAACAGAAAUUAUUUUAGUUUGGUGAUACACUGAAAAAGGUUGAGGACGUAGAAUAAGUAAUACAAAAGAGCGAAACUUGUGUUGGAUGUGCAGGAAUAAGUAGUAUAAACAGAGAAUAUUAUAAAUGGUAUAAUCUGGUAAAAAUGUAUAAUUGAAGCUAUGUAAAAUAAUAGUAAAUAAAUUUGGAAAUAUAUAACAGUACACGACAACUUAUCUGACGGCUUUAGAAACCGUUACAGUACGCUAUAUUAAUAACUCUGUAAAAAUAUAAGAGUAUCAGUUCCAAAACCGUGAUAUGGUCUGUCUUCAGAACUCUUUUCGAAAAUUUUCUAGUAGUUUUUUAUUAUAAAUAUAGAGCAUCACUUCCAAAAGUGGUCUAUUGUUAGUCUUCAGAACUCUUUUCAAACAUUUUUUUACAAAGAAUUAAGUAGUAAUAUUCUCAAAAUAUAUCGAAAUUGCUAUAAAAAUUCCUUUAUAACAAUAUGUAACAGGAACGAUAUGUAAACAGUAGAAAUUUGUUGCAGUUGCUUCGUCAAAAUACGAUUUCCAAGAGGUUAGAAAGUAGAAAAUAGAAAAUUUAGGAAUAAUAGUUAAAAACUUGUAUAAAACCACAAAAAUAGCUGAUUUUAUUUUUAAAAAUUAAUACCAGCUUUUUUCACAAAUUUUUUUCAAAUUUAUCUCGCUAAAAUUACGCUACUGUUACAUCACGCCAAAGAGCAUUUUUCAAAAUUUUUUGAUAUUAUUCCAUUUUUUCUUUUUGAAAAGAGCUUUUGCGAUAAAAGGAGCUUUUUUAAAAAGCUUUUGAGAAUGAGAAAUCACUAUUGUUUGAAUAUUUGUCUGAUCUUUUUUAUAAAUAUUUUUUUGAGCUUUUAUUAAAGCAAAUCAAAAGCAAUAUCGUUAUACCACGAAUUAAUCUAUUAUGUACCUGCUUUUAGCGAAAUAAAUAUAAGGUCAAUGACUUGACAUUCCCAUAGAGUAUGCACAUAUAUUGAGUACUAGAGAGUAUAAUAAUUCUUUACCAUAUUUUUCAAGCUUGAUUUAUUUAUUUUUUCUUUUUUGGAAAGAGUUUUUGUGAUAAAAGUAAGAUUUUUAUGAGCUUUUUAAAAAGCUCUUCAGAAGUUUGAAUAAAUUUAUAAAAUAUCUUGGAUAUUUAUCUGAUUUUUUCCAUGUCUUUAGAGCUUUUGUGAUAGACCUAAAGUUUUGGGGCGCUUUUUAAAAAAGCUUUUCAGAAGUGUCCAUGGAAUUAUAAAAUUUUUUGGAUAUUAUUCUGAUUCUUGUUUAUAUCUUUUGAGCUUUUGUGAUAAAUUUAUGGUUUUUGGGAGCUUCUUCAAAAAGCUCUUCAGCAGUGUCAAAAGAAUUAUAAAAUUGUUUGAAUGUUUAUUUGAUUUUUUUCCAUAUCUGUUACUAUUGAAUCAAUGGACGAACAAAAUUUAACAUAUUUAUGAAUUAUUAUUACGUUUCUGUCUAAAAACAGAAAUAAAGCUGCGGUUUGUUAAAAGCUUAUGGAGCGGAGUAUUCAAAACCAAUUAAAAUUUUCCCCUUCGAAACACAUAUGCUAUGCUGCUACUGCCUCUUUACUACGCUUAAGCAAGAAAAUUGUUUCCUAAUCAAAUUUAUUAAUGUCAAUAUUUAUGUGAUUUUAAUUUUUUAUAAGUAAUAUAUUAUUUUAAAAUUUUUUUAACGUCUUAGGGACGAGUUUUAAGAUUCAAAUAAAAGUAGUAGGGAAAAUUUUAAAGUUGCAAUUGUUGUUUUGAAUAUUCUAAUAGCUUUAUAUAAUAAAUUUUAAAUUGGUGUCAUUGUUCAUAACAAUUUCGUUUGACUAAUAUUUACAAGUACACGAUCUUAGUGAUUAUUUCGCGUAGUAUGGUAACGUUGGGAAAGCAUGACUCUCAUUAGCAAUCGCAGUAAUUAAUUUGCUGCAUGCUUUCAAAAAUUUUAGCAAAUUUUUUAAUGUAUUUUAUAGCUGAAAAUUUAUUUUUGGAAAUAUGUAUGCAUGUUUUUCUAUUUAAAUUUAAUAUUUUUUUAUUUAAAUUUACUCCUGCAAGCAUAUUUAUGAAUUAUUUGCUUUGUUUUGUUUAUAAAUUGCGUUUUACUUUGAAAUAUUUGCAAAUGUUUUUGUUAUUGUUUAUUAGCAUUAAAUUUUUUUUUGUUCAAAACGCACCUUUGUAUUCGACCUUUUGUGUGGCUGCAUGCAAUUUCGCAAUUUAUAUGUAUUAUAUAAUUUACUUUGAUUUCGCAUCGUUUUCUACAGAAAUUUAGCUUAACUUUUUACAAGUGUGUGCUGCCAAGUUGAUUUGAUUUUUGCUUAUUAUUUUCAUUAAUUUUUCUUUUUAAAUU